CCUACGGGUGGCUGCAGUGGGGGAUAUUGGGCAAUGGGCGCAAGCCUGACCCAGCAACGCCGCGUGAAGGAAGAAGGCUUUCGGGUUGUAAACUUCUGUUCUCAGGGACGAAGAAAGUGACGGUACCUGAGGAAUAAGCCACGGCAAACUACGUGCCAGCAGCCGCGGUAAUACGGGGGAUGCGAGAGUUAUCCGGAUUUAUUGGGUUUAAGGGGUGCGCAGGCGGGAGAUCAAGUCAGAGGUAAAAUUGGGAGGCUCAACCUCUUCGAGCCGUUGAAACUGGUUUUCUUGAGUGAGGGAGAAGCAUGCGGAAUGCGUGGUGUAGCGGUGAAAUGCAUAGAUAUCACGCAGAACUCCGAUUGCGAAGGCAGCAUACCGGCGCUCAACUGACGCUCAUGCACGAAAGUGUGGGUAGCGAACAGGAUUAGAUACCCCAGUAGUC
rnacentral:rRNA from 1 species